rnacentral:lncRNA from 1 species
GGAGUAGAGAGAGGAAAUAAAUGAAAUGCGUGCGGCAAGAGGAGCGGUUUGUUUUCACCCCCAAGACCUGGGAAAACCCAUCAAAAGAGAUUGACUUCAGAAAACCGAGAAUGCCUGGGAAAUCUGAAUGCAAACAGCCCUGGAAUAAUCAGCACCACCAACAUCUGUCACCACAGCUGUUUCUUUUCUGGUUGGUGAGAGAACCCGUCUCUCUUCUGUGGGUUGGCAAUGAACUCCAAGUAAGGGGCCCAUCGUCUUUCUCUUCCAAACAGAAUCCUCCAGGUCUCUGUUUAUUUAGCCUGCUUAAAAGUAGAACACAAUACAAAACAAAACAAGCAUAAUAUUGCCACCUUUUAGGUGAAAAUAAGUAGCCUGGUAAAGUAGGUUAGGAAGAAUUAUUCUUGACCUGUGGUCACAGAUGAGGAAACUGAGGCAUGGGGACAGCCUUUGAUUUUCAAAUUGAUAUCCAGUAAAAAAUCAGAAUUAAUAAAUCCAAUCCUCAGCUCUUGGAAGGCACUCCGUUAAAAACAAAAAAAGCCCCCCAAAACAGGAGUAAGAGACCUGUAGACUUGGUCACCUUGCCCUCUGUCCAUUUCUAAAGCAAGGAGCUAAAACACUGCAUCAGGAUCCUUCAGCUUAAAAAGAAUUCACAUGAUGACCUCCUUCCCUUGAACACAGAAUGACUUGUGAGCCCUUUGGAGAACAGUGCCUCCAGUUACCACGUCCAAGGCUGACACAUUUCCUCACCACCGUGGCUUGCUCUCAGUGGGGCUGGCCCAGGGCAUGGCCAGUUUCCAGGUUGGCAUCCACCUCAUUCUAGUUGGCCGCUCCACUGUGUCAGUGUGUCAGAGCAUCAGCUGGAGUGGUUCCCAGAAUUCAUCCCGUGCUCACAGCAAAACCUUGAAGACUUAGGUCAGCCCUGAAGGCCAGCUGGGAUUGUGAAUGUUGAAGCCAGCGUCCCCAGUGUGAAGGUCCAGCAUUCCAUGAGGAUUCAUUGAGCACAUGUUGGGUAAAGCAUCUCGAGGUGCUUCAGUGUGUUGUGAAGAGGGGAAUUGGAAAGAGGAGGAGCAUGAAGGAUGCAAAGGAAAUAAAUGGGAUGGACCUGGACUUUUAGGAUUAUUCAGAGGGUUUAGAGAAAGGAUGGAUAAUAUCUGAAAUGAUACAACUCAAUAAAAAGACGCCCCAGUUACCAGUUACCAUGGCUGAGAGGCAUGCCUCAGGUUACAUACGUGGCUUUGGAAAAAUCAUAGAACCCCUCUGCUCUCAGGUUGCUCAUCUUUGUAAAGAAGGAAAAGUAAUAAAUCUGCAGCUUUACUGAAUUGAGGUGAGAGAACAAGAAAGAUCACAGUAUAAAAAUGCACUGAGAAAGUAAAAAAGGGCUACGUAGAAAUGUGACGGAAGGUGAGGAGAGAGCACUGAGACCAAGCAAAUGGAGGCACUCAGGGAAUGAGAGGCUAAAGAUGAGAAG